UAGAUCUAGAAUUUAGAUCUAUGGUACCUAAUGCAAUGUCCAUCAUCAAGGGUCUACCUGGAUACCUCCAAGAGUGAGGGAUCUUCUUCAUGAUAUAGUUUAUGCCAUCAUUGGGUAAUACUCAUUGCUGACUCUCCAAUCCCAUGAGCAGAUGGAAUGUCCAUGCCCUUUGAACUGCCUCCAGCAUUCUGAAGAAAUGGACAUUGCUUGAAAAUGAAGAUUCUUGUACUCCUAACGUGAUCCUGAAGAUGGUGGUUGGAGGAGAAGAUUGCACAGUGAGCAUGGCUUCAAUACUUCUAUUGGAUUUCAGAGCUGGAUGUUGUUCCUAACUCAAGAGUCUUGCUCUAUAUCUUAAGAUUCAUCAGGAAAGUCUUUGUUAACUGCCAGAUGGUAUGUUGACCUAAGGAAAUGGGCCUUUAGCUACUGGAAAUCCAUUGUGCCAAGUGGAACAUUCCUAAAUGAAUAUGGAAGGAGAGAUCAUUGUUUAUGGUCCACCUAUUCACCCAGAAGAGUUGCUGAGUUCUGGCAUUCCAGUAGGGCAGAGGAUGGUGAAGUGACAAAAGACUCGUGAGACUACUUAAAAGUAUUUUUCCCUGCUUAAUUAGGCAAUAAAGAUUUUCCAGGAAACUGAACUUCCUUAAAUUGAGAAGUUCCUUAAUACUGCUG